rnacentral:rRNA from 1 species
CCUACGGGUGGCAGCAGUGAGGAAUAUUGGUCAAUGGACGAGAGUCUGAACCAGCCAAGUAGCGUGAAGGAUGACUGCCCUAUGGGUUGUAAACUUCUUUUAUAUGGGAAUAAAAUGUUCCUCGUGUGGGUUUUUGUAUGUACCAUAUGAAUAAGGAUCGGCUAACUCCGUGCCAGCAGCCGCGGUAAUACGGAGGAUCCGAGCGUUAUCCGGCUUUAUUGGGUUUAAAGGGAGCGUAGGUGGAUUGUUAAGUCAGUUGUGAAAGUUUGCGGCUCAACCGUAAAAUUGCAGUUGAAACUGGCAGUCUUGAGUACAGUAGAGGUAGGCGGAAUUCGCGGUGUAGCGGUGAAAUGCUUAGAUAUCACGAAGAACUCCGAUUGCGAAGGCAGCUCACUGGAGUGCAACUGACACUGAGGCUCGAAAGUGUGGGUAUCAAACAGGAUUAGAUACCCCAGUAGUC